rnacentral:rRNA from 1 species
UACGUAGGUGGCAAGCGUUGUCCGGAUUUAUUGGGUUUAAAGGGUGCGUAGGCGGUCUUCUAAGUCAGUGCUGAAAUAUCCCGGCUUAACCGGGAGGGUGGCAUUGAUACUGGGAGACUUGAGUAAAGUUGAGGUAGGCGGAAUUGACGGUGUAGCGGUGAAAUGCUUAGAUAUCGUCAAGAACACCAAUAGUGAAGACAGCUUACUAAACUUUAACUGACGCUGAGGCACGAAAGUGUGGGGAUCAAACAGG